rnacentral:rRNA from 1 species
AUUGAACGCUGGCGGCAGGCCUAACACAUGCAAGUCGAACGAGUGGCGGACGGGUGAGUAAUGUCUGGGAAACUGCCUGCUGGAGGGGGAUAACUACUGGAAACGGUAGCUGAUACCGCAUACCAUCGGAUGUGCCCAGGUGGGAGUAGCUGGUAGGUGGGGUAAAGGCUCACCUAGGCGACGAUCCCUAGCUGGUCUGAGAGGAUGACGAGACACACUGGAACUGAGACACGGUCCAGACUCCUACGGGAGGCAGCAGUGGGGAAUAUGGCACAAUGGGCGCAAGCCUGAUUCAGCCAUGCGGCGUGUAUGAAGAAGGCCUUCGGGUGGUAAAGUACUUUCAGCGGGGAGGCGGUACCCGAAGAAGAAGCACCGGCUAACUCCGUGCCAGCAGCCGCGGUAAUAC